CAGGCCCACUGGCUGGGUCAUCUCCGAAGGGCUGGAAAGACACCUGCACCAGGCCUCGUGACGAUAACUGGCUUAGGACAGGGGCUGAAAGGCUAUGCCUCAGAUCACCUCCUGCUAUCAAGGCACUUUCCCAAAGAGACUCUGGCCACCAGGCAGCUAGCACAGGCAGCUCCAACAUCUCCCAACACAGCACUGCACGCCCACCUCACCCCCCCACAGUCCCCGGGGCCUCUGACCCCCUUCUGCCAUCCAGAUCCCUCCGGGGCCUGAAACCAGUGAAAUGGCAGUUCCCCAGUGCUCCAGCCUUGAACGCUGUUCCUAGUCCCACCCACGAGUGGGAUCACCCAGCCCACGUUCUCCUUCGGCGUCUCUCACUGAGUGGAGUCCCUCCGCUUCCAUCUAAGUCCUGGCAAGAGGGAGCUGUCUCUUUCAGGGCAGAGCGGUACCCCACUGUGCAUCCACACAGCCUUGUUGGCCACGCACACGCCACUCAGACGCCGGGUGUUUCUAGACCUGGCGCACACAGCUCUCUGUUCUCUGGGAAGAUGCCCAGGGAGGAGGCGCCAGGUGCUAUGCCUAGAGGACGACGAAGUAGAGAGAGAGGGAUGGAGGGAGACGGUGGGAGGAAUCCUCUCUGGGCUGGAGAGAAACCUGAUGCACACUGAGAUCUGCUGGACUAUUUUUAACUGAACUUUCUGGCCCCAGGUCAAGCUUCUGCUGGCAGAAACCAAGGCUGGGACUGGGCGGCCCAGAGCUGGGCUGGGGGAGGCGCACAGAGGC